UGUAACCUGAUUCAUUCAUGUUAAGUUGUCUGGUCUUUCCAAACCCAGGGAACUCCAUCAUGGCCUGUUUUUUGGUGAUUUCUGUCUUUGGAAAUGUCAUACAGGCAGUACACUCUUACCUACAGAGGAGACGAUACGAGAGUAGGCCGAAUCCAGUAUAUAUCAACAUGAAUCCUGUCGUUGAAGCUACAGAAGAACGGCCAGAGCAGUCCCUAAGGCUCUUGGAUCUAACUAAUCGUUGAUGACUAAACUCAUGACCUCGCUCUAUUCUACCCUUCGCUCACUGGUUUGAGGCUACUUAUCUCUCGGAUACCAUCAUUAUCUUUAAACUGUUUUUAAAGAAGGGAAAACAAGCCUGACAGAACGUUUUUCCUGAAAAGCCUGAGAAAAGACGGCAAGGAGAAUGGCACUGGCCACAAGGUCAUGGCUUACAAGCAAGUACGGAAAUACUCCAGGAUAUUUCCCAGCAACAGGGGAAAUAUCACUCUGUUUUAAUGAUUGCAACUCCUCCAGAACUAGAUUAAGACGUGUGUUUCCUGUGUUAAUCCUCUUCCGGUGCUUUAAAAGUUACUCUGAGUCUUGUUUUCUAAAAGUUUCUGGGAGGUCCCAGAAAGACUUGCCAAAUACUAAAUGUAAUGUUUGAGUACCGUCUCCGGUGCACCGAACUGUAUUGCAUUUACCA